rnacentral:rRNA from 1 species
GACGAACGCUGGCGGCGUGCUUAACACAUGCAAGUCGAACGGAAAGGCCCUGCUUUUGUGGGGUGCUCGAGUGGCGAACGGGUGAGUAACACGUGAGUAACCUGCCCUUGACUUUGGGAUAACUUCAGGAAACUGGGGCUAAUACCGGAUAGGAGCUCCUGCUGCAUGGUGGGGGUUGGAAAGUUUCGGCGGUUGGGGAUGGACUCGCGGCUUAUCAGCUUGUUGGUGGGGUAGUGGCUGACCAAGGCUUUGACGGGUAGCCGGCCUGAGAGGGUGACCGGCCACAUUAGGACUGAGGUACGGCCCAGACUCGUACGGGAGGCAGCAGUGGGGAAUAUUGCACAAUGGGCGGAAGCCUGAUGCAGCGACGCCGCGUGCGGGAUGACGGCCUUCGGGUUGUAAACCGCUUUCGCCUGUGACGAAGCGUGAGUGACGGUAAUGGGUAAAGAAGCACCGGCUAACUACGUG